CGGAGGGCGCUGCAUGUCGCCAAUACGGGGUUUGCAUUCAGCAUGUUUCCAGAGUUUCAGCAUGUGUCCAGAGUUUCUGUGUCCAACUAAAAUCCCGGCGAUCGCCUACCAGUGCCCGGUGCUGAAGGAUCUUCAGCAUUAAAAGUCCAGAAACUAUGGUUACGGGAGAAUAAUGAUCAAGCCUCUCUAAUGAACCACUACUCUCUUCGCCUUGAACAGCACUGUCAUAUUCAACAGGAUCUGUAUAGGAUCUUCAGCAUUAAAAGUCCAGAGACUAUGGUUACGGUGACGCAAAGAACAGUUCCUCACUUCGACAUUGUGGAGAAGUGGAAUUAGCUGACAACAAGCACGGUUGAGCUCCAGAUUUUGGAUUUUUCCAUACUUGACGAUCUACGUGGACUACGAUUGGAAUGGUAACCUGUGUCAAGUGAAGCGAGGCACCUUGCCCGAAGCAUGGCGAAUAAAGCGAGCCAUGAGAGGGGACAAGUGGCUCCCUCUGCGUCGGCAUGGCAGGAGGCUUCAGUGUGUUGCUAGGCUACUAGCACGUCACCACCAAGCUGAUCACGUGACACACCAGGAGGUAUCGGAUGCUGGGUGGACACUGCACGCCGCAAAUCACAUACAUUACCUUAUUUAAGUGAUAUCACCACUAUGGAUGACUGGUAACUGGGAAACCUACUACAGAGGUUCCAUGUAGGCUAUAUUUAUCAUGUGGGUAUUAUCUUUAGCCGCUUCAGGAGUCGUAUGUGCAAAGGCCCAAGAAGAGACAAGGGCACAUUGUUGGAGAGGCCUGUGGAGGAGGAAGAGGCAAGCCCAUCAAAGUAUUCAAAACCAUCAGAAGAAUGGCCACCAGUGCAUGCUUGCCUACUGUCCUGGAAUAUCUAGGAGACUCCAAACUUUUUGGAGAAUGCAAAGGUCUCACAGAAGAGUAAAUCACCCUUCCUCAUCCCACCACGUAGUAAGAUGUGGCAGAAAGCAAUGGCGGAUUUCCCACUAGGCACAUGAGGCAUGUACCUAGGGGUGAAACUUGCUGGGGUGGGGGUGGGGGCACAGCAUACUCACUUGCAUGAGAGUCCUGCUAGGCCAAUGGCCAGAGGAGGUCAGAUGAUUUUUUUUUUGUCAUUACAACUUAUUUUUUUUAUUUUGUAACCGGUGAGGGAGGAGGGGGAA